GACUGCGUAGCUCAGUUGGAAGAGCAUUGGGCUAGUAUUCCAAAGGUCGUAGGUUCGAAUCCUACUGUGGCCG
rnacentral:tRNA from 1 species